GCCACGAUGCACCGCUCCUGAUCGUGCCACCGACGCCCUGCCGACGCCGCGCACACAGCCUGCCGCAUGCCGCCGUCAACCCCGCGCCGCGUGACCUCUCCUCACCGAGCACCCACACGCCGCCACCACACCGCCGUCGUGCACACCGGAGCCGCCCUCGCCGCCCGCCAUGGUCCUCGGAGCAUCAUCGUCGGCGAGCCACUUUGUUGCAGGGGGUCGCUUCCGCGACCAAUAAUCUACGUGUAGAGUCGGAGGAGGAUCGGACUGACGAGGACCGUGAGUAUCGGGAGGAGUUAGGCGACGACUACUCCGAAGGUUCUUAUGAUUCCGAGGGAUAUAGCGACUAGGGGAUUCGUGCCUUCGCUCAAGUCAAUGGAGUUUCUACCUUCCGCAUCUAUCGAGCUGUUCCGGUUGAUAAUAUAGAUUUUGUUUCUGCCAUGUGGCAAUGUAAUAAUGUAAUACUCUUUACUCUUAAUGCUUUUGUACGAUGUAUGGAUGACGAUUAUCAACUGGAAUUGGGUAAUUUGAUUGUCGGUGUUUUCCCCGCGGGGGGUCACACCAACGAGUAAAUUUGUAUGCGUGCUCCCUUUCCCAUAUGGUAA